GCGGUGAUAAAAGGUUCGCGUGGAGUGCCGACUUGGACCCAGCGGUGAUAUUUGGAGUGGUUUUGCCAAAAGCCCUUAACCGACUUUCACCUAUGUAUGAGCCCUCGUGGAGCGCGUGAGCACUAUCUCUGGAGUUCUCAUCGAGAAAAUUCUUCUUGCUAUUACAUAUUUUAACAGCGAAGGCGGUUCCUUCAAUUUUAUACUGUUUAAUCAACUGAACCAUGAUGAGUAAUCUCAUUUACUUGAAUGAGAAGAAACCGCCCGAUUGUCAAUUAGCAGGACCGUCGAGGCAACCGCAUAAUCCUCGUGCGAUACUCAUCCACAGAAGGAAGGGACGAUUCGGAUUCACACUGCGUCAUUUCGUCGUCUUCCCUCCCAAAUCAAAGGGUCCGGAGAGACCACUUCUGGUGCCGCCGAAAGACCUUCACCUCAGCAGGCGUACGCCCACGAAGCUCAGUGACCAUGACCCAGUGGACACCAUCUUUGUGCAUCACGUGAAACACGACGGUCCAGCUCACGAGGCGGGUUUGAAGGACGGGGAUCGCAUCCUCACCGUCAACGGUCAGAGCCUUGCUGGUCGCAGUUAUGCAAAGGUUAUAGAACUCAUCAAAACGAACGAUUCCACACUGAGACUGCUGGUUGUGCCGCGCAGCGAAGACAUCCUUCAGAUGGCCUACCCGGAGCAGACUCUACGGGCCAUGGACCUUGGCGGUGCUGGAUCGGAGCAUAAGAGAGCCCGCACUCUUAAAGGGAGUCUAUAGGCAGCAGCUAGAUGUCCGUCGGGCGUGUCAACAGAACCAAGAACUUCGACAUCACGACGGCUCUUGGCCGAGAUCACAGUAAUACGAAAGGUCUUCGUUCAUAAAUUACGAUAAUCCGCAAAAGUACGCCCAACAUGGUGAUAUGUCAUCAUCGCCACUAUAGUGUCCAAAAAUAAGCUCCCGAAGUAUCGGAGUGUCACGCCAUGCCGACGAUGUCCAAUGGGCUGUUCAUGUUCAUGCGAGAUGAAUCAUCAGUAUUGGAAGACGGAGACAUGGUUCCUCAUGAUGUUGUUUACGGCACGAGCAUGUUACAACCUUCAUGAAAUUUCAGGACGGCUCCUGACUCCCAUGGACAUUCUUGAUCGUGUUUACCAUCCUGAGGAUUCGGACAGUGUCACAAAUUUCGUUGGCAGACAUUAAUUGUUGAAUCUGCAUGACGUGUUUACAUCUUGUGUUACCAUAAUGGACAGUGGUUUGCUGGAACUAUCGAUAUAAAUUUGUUCCAAGGAACAUUCAUUUUUGGAUUAUCAACUGUGGUGUAUUUGUUGGCUAAUAAUAAUAAAUUCGAUGGGAAAUAGCCCUGUACUUGUGGAUGUUGUUUCGAAUUCCAUGCGUCAACUCUGGUGUAUUUGAUGAGAAAUAUAACACUUGAUAAGAUCACUAACACUGGAUAUUAACAUCAAGCUUGUGUCAGGAUGUUGUUGACCGCCCGUGCUAGGUGAAUAUCAUGAAAAUGUAAGA